rnacentral:snRNA from 1 species
AUACUUACCUGGCGCGCGGGGAUACCGUGAUCAAGAAGGGUGCCUCCAGGACGAGGCCUGUACAUUGCACUCCGUAUGGGCUGACUCCUGCGACUACCCCAAAUCGGGGGGUGGCUCGAGCGCAUAAUUUUUGGUAGUGGGGACAAGCGUUCGCGCUGUCCCUU